rnacentral:sRNA from 1 species
AAACAACUAAUUUAUUGACUUAACUAAGCGACCUCUCGACAAACUUGAAAAAAGCUUUUACUAAUAAGAAAAGGAAGAAACUUUUAAAGAAUCAUAUAUAUGAAAGUUGAACAACUCUCUCCAUAUGAGUGACACAUCAUCACACAAGAAAAUGACAUGUGUGAUUCUACAUUAAUUAAAUAAAAAGAUUAAAAACUAUUUGAGGAAAAAUUCUUUUGUUGUAUUAAAUCCACCAUUAAUCUCACUCUUAAAUAAAUAUUCUAACUAUACAAAUAUAAUUACAUAAAAUGAAUAUAACUUUAUUAACUACAUAAUAACAUACACGAAAAUAACAUAAAUUAAUAAUAAAAAUAGUUAAACAUAAUUAUUUUUAAACAAAUUUCAAACAACAACCAACAAAAUGACAAUCACAAUGUGAAUCCAAACUUUAAUCAUGAGCCUAUCACAAUGUUACUGAAGUACAUAAAACAAGGAAAUGAUUAUUUAUAAUCGAGUUAGGCAAAUAUUAAACCACAAAAAUAACAUAGUUACACAGAAUUGUAUUAAAAUAUCAUUAUUGUUGUUAUAUGUAUUCAUA